rnacentral:piRNA from 1 species
UACCGACUUUUGCGAGACACUCGAAAAU